GGCUCCUUGGUCAAGCGGUUAAGACACAGCCCUUUCACGGCGGUAACACGGGUUCGAGUCCCGUAGGAGUCA
rnacentral:tRNA from 1 species